rnacentral:ncRNA from 1 species
UUUUUGAAAUUAUUACGUUCCCCAACAGAUCAGGAAUUGGUUUCAGUUGAAAAUCCGACGAUCCGACCUAAUUCUCCAACACACCUUUCGUUUCGCCGAACCAAUGCCCAUCAACCAUGGAGUUCCAGAAUUUCUAACUUGCCUUGUGUGAUUGCCCAUCCAAUAACCUGUCCGGGUCUUCUCAAGUUUAGCUCGGGAAUUCUUCUUUGCUCAUAAAGAAAAAGAUCUCCAUUGCCAAAAAAUGUCUGCAAGCACAUUCCAUCUCAUGCAGCUCAUUAAGUUCUUCUAUUUUUCUUUCACAAACCUUCGGAAAACUUUUUUCUCCUUAAGAUCAGAAGGUUCCUCCAUGAAAGGAUACUUGUUGAAAUCCAUCAUGGCAGUAUUUGCCUCACAAUUGCUCUUGAACCAUGCUUCAAGCUCAAUAGAAUUGGAUCCAUUCCAAAUAGCGAGAAUUAGGAUUCUUGAUCCCUCUCAAUCUCUCUUUCAAUUCGAGGAUCCAGAGAGGUGUUUUCAUAGUCAUCUCCGAAUAUUUGCCAUCUCGGAAUAUUUUCGAUUUCAUUUUUCUAUGAUAUGUCCCCAAAUAAGAAUAGGAUAGAUAUGUCAAAAGCAGGUCUGAUUACACCUAUUCCUAAUCCUAAAUAGAAUGUAAGGACGUAGGGAUUUCUAUUUCCGCUUUCUCGGUUCGAGAAAUGCAUUGUUGGAACUGGAUUGGAACGCCAAACAGCUCUAGAUUCGAGGGUUUCCAUUAUAGCCGAACGCGAGGGAAAGAUCAUUUCUACUGAUAGUCAUAAGAUACUUUUAUCAAGUAGUGGGAAGAAGCCACCCUUUAAUUAAUGCGUAAUACCUCACUGAUCGAGCGCCCUUGCGCUGAAGAUGAACGGGGCUAAGCGAUCUGCCGAAGCUGUGGGAUGUCAAAAUGCAUCGGUAGGGGAGCGUUCCGCCUUAGAGGGAAGCAACCGCGAAAGCGGGGGUCGACGAAGCGGAAGCGAGAAUGUCGGCUUGAGUAACGAAAACAUUGGUGAGAAUCCAAUGCCCCGAAAACCCAAGGUUUCCUCCGCAAGGUUCGUCCACGGAGGGUGAGUCAGGGCCUAAGAUCAGGCCGAAAGGCGUAGUCGAUGGACAACAGGUCAAUAUUCCUGUACUACCCCUUGUUGGUACGGAGGGACGGAGGAGGCUAGGUUAGCCGAAAGAUGGUUAUAGGUUUAAGGACACAAGGUGACCCUGCUUUUUCAGGGUAAGAAGGGGUAGAGAAAAUGCCUCGAGCCGAGGUCCGAGUACCAAGCGCUGCAGCGCUGAAGUAUGAGCCCCGUGGACUAG